AGAUAUAUUCAGCAAAGUAAUCGAAAGGUUAUGACGCAAAGCUAAAGGGGCUUUAAAAUGCUAGCCAGUUGCAAUA
rnacentral:ncRNA from 1 species